rnacentral:rRNA from 1 species
GUGGGGAAUAUUGGACAAUGGGCGAAAGCCUGAUCCAGCCAUGCCGCGUGUGUGAAGAAGGUCUUCGGAUUGUAAAGCACUUUAAGUUGGGAGGAAGGGCAUUAACCUAAUACGUUAGUGUUUUGACGUUACCGACAGAAUAAGCACCGGCUAACUUCGUGCCAGCAGCCGCGGUAAUACGAAGGGUGCAAGCGUUAAUCGGAAUUACUGGGCGUAAAGCGCGCGUAGGUGGUUUUGUAAGUUGGAGGUGAAAUCCCCGGGCUCAACCUGGGAACUGCCUCCAAAACUGCAUGACUAGAGUACGGUAGAGGGUAGUGGAAUUUCCUGUGUAGCGGUGAAAUGCGUAGAUAUAGGAAGGAACACCAGUGGCGAAGGCGACUACCUGGACUGAUACUGACACUGAGGUGCGAAAGCGUGGGGAGCAAACAGGAUUAGAAACCCCGGUAGUCC